UACGUAGGGACCGAGCGUUGUCCGGAUUCCUUGGGCGUAAAGAGCUCGUAGGCGGCCACUCAAGUCGAAUGUGAAACCUCGAGGCUUAACCUCGAGCCUGCAUUCGAUACUGGGUGGCUAGAGUCUGGUAGGGGGAUCUGGAAUUCCUGGUGUAGCGGUGGAAUGCGCAGAUAUCAGGAGGAACACCGGUGGCGAAGGCGGGAUCCUGGGCCAGUACUGACGCUGAGGAGCGAAAGCGUGGGGAGCAAGCAGG
rnacentral:rRNA from 1 species